ensembl:ncRNA ZK470.9 ncRNA
GCCCCCAUUCAAAACCGAAAAUUCCCAUCAUUUGUCAUUGACUCUUGUCCUGUCCGAAAAUGUGU